GGUCAAGUAGCUCAGUUGGUUAGAGCACUGUCCCUGGAUGGCAGGGACCUGGGUUCAAUUCCCAGCUUGGUCA
rnacentral:tRNA from 1 species